CUGCUUUUAUUACUCAAAACAAAACUGACUCGAUGGCGAAAGGUCGGAAGACCAAAUCAUAUCCACAGAGGAAAUGUUUUUCGUGUUGUUACAGUAACACUUUGUUUACAGUUUUGCGCUGCUCAGCCUGGAUUAGAACACAACGCGUCCGAUUCGCGAACUGACUCCUUUGAACGGAUUCGUUUGAAUGAACGGUUGAAACAACAGAUCUGUCCCAACACUAAACUCACAAGACGUCACUGUCAGCACAAUCAGUCACUUAUAGCGCCUCAGAAAUGAGAAUGUAAAUGUGUUUAGAAAGAUUUGCCCUAAAUAACAGUCUCAACUAAAAAACAUAGACAUUUACUAUGUUAACUUUAUGAUGAAUAAAUAAUUUAUCAGGUCUACCAAAUAAGGAUUUUAUCCUACAAAGCAAUAAAAGCCAUGGUAAAAAACUGAUCAAAGAUGAUGACAGCAGAGUGUCAGGUAAUAUCUGUGUCUGAUAAAUGCAUGGUGCAGAGGAGGUUGUAAAACUCUUCAGAAAGACCAGUCAUAAUUUUUUGAAAUACUUUUUAAAAUAUCUGCUAAUGAUGAGGACAUUUUGAUUAUUAUGUACAUAUAGAAAAUCGGCCAAACAUAUCGGCUGCCCUGAUUUCUAAAUAUCGGCAUCGGCCGGAGAAAAAGCCAUAUCGGUCGACCUCUGAACCGUAUACAGGUAGUUUGCCAUUCUGUAAUCUCUCUUUAGGGACAAAUAACAUUGCAUUUUACUAGGGAUGCACCGAAUAUUCGGCCACCGAAAAUUUUCGGCCGAAAAUGGCCCAAAAGAGCAUUUUCGGCCGAAAGACUUUUAUCACCGAAACAAUACGGCCGAAAUGUUGUGAUGACGCAAACAGAAACCGCGACCUGCACGUGCUUGUCUGAAGCAACAUGUAUGCGGCGUGGAUGUAUUUAACCGCAAAAAGGCGCUAAAGUACACACAGCGGCACAUGCGGUUGUGUCCGGUCCAGACGUGAUCAUCACAGUGAGUAUGCCCUUCAAAGAUCAGAACUCUUGAUGUGUAAACUUUAGAGAGAGUCACGCUAAUGUGUCUCAUACUGUAGUCCAUUAAAGGAAAACUUCAUCCAAUUGAAAUUUGAAUAUAUUAUUAAAUUGUGUCACCUAUGUAGUAGAACUGUGGAGUUAUUUUAGAAAUUGGUGCCUUCUAGGCCGAGAAAAGUCAGAAAAUGUGGUUUUUUGCUCAUGUGCAUGAAAAACACCAAGUCCCAGAAUGCAUUGCUUCGCUGCUCUACGAGGCCACUCCCUAGUCACACCUACCGGUUCGAGGCGGCAGGAGGGAGGGAGGGAGAUUCAACUCGGCUAAAUACAACUUUUACAGACACGUCUGCAACGAUUUAGUUGAUAUAUUAUUAUAAAUACUACCUUUUCCGCAUUGAAAUGAUGAUACGUUGCGUUGUAACGGGAUGUUCAACCAAAACCGGGAAAGGACAAGCAGCAAGUUUUCAUCAUUUGCCGCGGUGUAAACAAUGGCUGCGGGCUAUCAACCACGCAAAGUUCAGAGAAGACAACGAUGCGGUAAAAUUGAAAAACCUGAGGGUUUGCAGUAUCCAUUUCAAGCUGGAAGAUAUCGAACCCAAUGUACUUGGAAUGAAGCGAAACAUGCUAAAGGACACUGCGAUUCCGUCUAUAUGUACCUUCACAGACACGACGAACAGCCGGGGCCAUCUGGCAUCAAACUCAUUCGUCUACGUUAGAGGUUUCCGGAAGAAGAUGCAGAAGAAGGGGAAAAAAGAACAAUGAAAUCCUCCUUGCAUGGACCAGGUCUGUCAUAAAUCAUAUGUGGUUUUCCUUUGCAACCAGUAAGGGGGACGUCGAGGAGAAGCACGGUUGAACCAAAUGUUCUGCAAGAAAUCCAAGCAGUGGGUCUUGAAGAAAAGCUUCAUACCACACACCACACAGUUUGUAGACAAACUCAUCCAGAAGGCCAUUGACAAGACUCAAUCCAAACAUUGUGUU